AAAACCCUAAUUCUCUUCUUUAACUACCGAUUCUUCCCCCUCUCCUCUUUGGCGAUCAACAGCGCCGCCAGCCCCUUCCUCUUUCUUCCCUCUUUGCUUUUCUGUUUCUCGUCACUUGUUCUUGGAAUUUUAUUCGGUUCGGAAAUCUUUUGUUGGGAACCUGAUGAGCGUGCAAAUGUCGCCCCAGUCUUACGAUCCUUUCGUGCUUUCGAUCGGGUUAUCAAUGGUAUCUGAUGCUCUGUUAAUUUUAUGGCUGAGCUUCUCGUAAGUGUGGCAGAGAUGGAAGGGAAGAACAGGCCUUGCGACACAGGAUGCUCAUUUUUUGAAGUGUGCUUCCUGUUACUAAAUCCUGUUUACAUCUCUGAACUUUUUUUAAAAAAAUAAAUUUGGAGAUAAAAA